AACGCACCUUGCACUCUUUAGUUCUCUAAAGAGUAUGCCCGGUUGAGUGUAAUGAAAUUCUCCAAGCCCUCUUAACUUGUUUAAUUGGACUCUGGGUAUUGAGCGCAUGAUGGUAUCGCACCAACUCGCUCGAAAUAUAUUAGCUGGUGUUCAUUAGCACACAGUGAGGCGUAAUAAGUUUUCGUCUCUAUAUCUGUUGCUUUCGGCACUGCUGAUCUUUGAAUCGUCACUGAUUCAAAAACUCUUUGACUUCUUCACCUCAACUCGGGUAGGACUACCCGCUGAACUUAA
rnacentral:misc_RNA from 1 species